GGCCCUGUGGUGUCAACACGUGUGGUUGCAAACCUCAAAACGCAGAAUAAAUUCCUGCCGGGGCUU
rnacentral:tRNA from 1 species